rnacentral:tRNA from 1 species
UCCCUGGUGGUCUAGUGGUUAGGAUGUGGCGCUUUCACCACUGCAACCCGGGUUUGAUUCCCGGUCAGGGAA